rnacentral:hammerhead_ribozyme from 1 species
AUCCAGAUGAUGAGUCCGGAAUAGGACGAAAUGCGCGUUUUCCUAGAU